GAUGAACGCUAGCUACAGGCUUAACACAUGCAAGUCGCGGGGCAGCAUGUCGGUUGCUUGCAACCGAUGAUGGCGACCGGCGCACGGGUGAGUAACGCGUAUCCAACCUGCCCUUCACCACAGAAUAAUCCAGUGAAAAUUGGUCUAAUACCGUAUGAGGUCAUACGAUGGCAUCAGAAUAUGACGAAAGGUUUGGCGGUGAAGGAUGGGGAUGCGUCUGAUUAGCUUGUUGGUGAGGUAACGGCUCACCAAGGCGACGAUCAGUAGGGGUUCUGAGAGGAAGGUCCCCCACAUUGGAACUGAGACACGGUCCAAACUCCUACGGGAGGCAGCAGUGAGGAAUAUUGGUCAAUGGGCGAGAGCCUGAACCAGCCAAGUAGCGUGCAGGAAGACGGCCCUAUGGGUUGUAAACUGCUUUUAUAUGGGGAUAAAGUGAGCUACGUGUAGUUUAUUGCAGGUACCAUAUGAAUAAGGACCGGCUAAUUCCGUGCCAGCAGCCGCAGUAA
rnacentral:rRNA from 1 species